UACGUAGGGUGCGAGCGUUAAUCGGAAUUACUGGGCGUAAAGCGUGCGCAGGCGGUUCUAUAAGACAGAUGUGAAAGCCCCGGGCUUAACCUGGGAAUGGCCGUCGAAACUGGCGAACUGGAGUGUGGCAGAGGGGGGGUGGAAUUCCGCGUGUAGCAGUGAAAUGCGUAGAGAUGCGGAGGAACACCGAUGGCGAAGGCAGCCCCCCUGGGCUGACACUGACGCUCAGGCACGAAAGCGUGGGGAGCAAACAGG
rnacentral:rRNA from 1 species